CAAAAGUCUAGAGUAUCCUUUCUUGAAGAAAAGGAAGAUCACAUUAUAAUGAUAUAAGUAAUAAGAAAAAUGUUUCUUAUAUGGUUAUCACUUGAAACACAAUGAUCAAGAUCACUCUUGAUUCAAUUAGUAGUUUUGAACAACUAAUUGGGCAUUCUUUAAAAGGUUUUAAAAUGUCAAUUAUGUUAGUGAUUAAACCAAGAAAGAAGUGUCUAAAUCUAUAAAAUGUUUAAAGACUUUAGUCACUUAAUAACAAGACAUUAACUUAGUGAAGAUUGAAACAAAUAAGCUUGAAAUGUUUUAAAGCUACUACACAAUGACUUCUUCCAAUAUACUCCACUUUUAUACAUUUUUGAAUGUAUGAAGUGAUUUCUCAUUAAAGUCAUGAGAAAUAGUGGGAGGUGUGAAAAUGGAUAUAAACUUGAAUGUGAUUGGUUUAUAGUUGUCUAAAGAAUAAUUGUACUUGACUAUUAUUAAAAGUUUGUAAUUUUAAUUGUUAAAA
rnacentral:lncRNA from 1 species